AUUGAACGCUGGCGGCAGGCUUAACACAUGCAAGUCGAGCGAGCGGCGGACGGGUGAGUAAUGUCUGGGAAACUGCCUGAUGGAGGGGGAUAACUACUGGAAACGGUCGCUAAUACCGCAUACCAUCAGAUGUGCCCAGAGGGGAUUAGCUAGUAGGUGGGGUAAGGGCUCAACUAGGCGGCGAUCCCUAGCUGGUCUGAGAGGAUGACCAGCCACACGGGAACUGAGACACGGUCCAGACUCCUACGGGAGGCAGCAGUGGGGAAUAUUGCACAAUGGGCGCAAGCCUGAUGCAGCCAUGCCGCGUGUGUGAAGAAGGCCUUCUGGUUGUAAAGCCCGGUCAGCGAGGAGGCGUUACUCGCAGAAGAAGAACCGGCUAACUCCGUGUCAGACGCCGCGGUAAUUC
rnacentral:rRNA from 1 species